AUUUUUUCCUCAUAAUCAAUUUCCUUUACCACAAGAAAAGAAAAGAAAAAGAGAAAAAGAAAAUUGAAUCCGCCAACAGAUCUACCAUGAAAGAUACCUUCAAAAAAUACGUAUUCGAACCGUACCCAUCAGAGCAGAGGACGAAAGUCCUUGUUAAUACAACACACCUCCUUUUCUAGAGUGAGAGAGAGAGGCUAUAUAUAUAUAGAGAGAGAGAGAGAGAGAGAGUCUAGAGAGAGAGAUUAUUGUUUCCUGUGAUUCCAAGGGCGCAUGCUUUUGGAGAGGAGAUGAUUUUCGAAUUUGGAGACGAAAGUUGUUAUCCUAAGGCCUUAGUGGCUGUGAAUGUCGCUCUUGCUAUCAUCGAUGGCGUAAUUGGCGUUCUUGCAUUCUAUCAGUUGAUAAGGGUCCAUUCAAGGAAUUCACGCGUUGGUUGGACUCGUCAGAAAGUGUUCCAUCUCAUGAUUGGCUCUUCUAAUUUGGGGUACUUUGUUUAUUUUGUGUUAACUCUUGUUGCUGCUUGCAAAGGUUGGCUAUGCUGGUCAAGCUCUUGUGGCUUUAUCAUUAUGGCUUGCCCCAAAAUUCUGUUCCUUGCAGCAUUUCUUCUACUUCUGUCGUUCUGGGUCGACUUGUGCCAUCAGACAAAUGAUGAUGAUGAUGAGGAUGAAGGUAGUCCUCGGGAAGCUUUGUUGGAGAGGACAUCCAGUAAACCACGUUCAAAUGCUGAUAGUCAGCGGAGAUGUUGCUCUUUCCGAGUCAUCCAUGUUGGAAGCCGCCAAAAAGUUGUGAUAGUGGUUACUGUGUUGAUUUUUGUACUAAUGAUGGGAUCUGCCGUGCUAAUUGGGAUUGGAAUGGGAAAGAACCCUAUUGAUUCAUCAGUGGUGGCUCGGGUGUAUGUAGAUCUUUUUGCAAUAGCCAUCCUUCUACUAGGAGGAGCAUUAGCAUGUUACGGACUCAUGUUAUUCUUGAAAAUGAGCAGAGUAAGAUCUGAAAGAGCUUAUUCUGAAAUGUGGAAGGUUGCAGGUUUGGCAAUUGUUUCUGUUACAUGUUUCACUUCAAGUUCAUUUGUUGCUCUUUUAACGAAUAUACCUGUGCUUUAUCACUGGCAUCAAGAGAACUUGAAUAGUGCUUAUACCCCUCUUCUAUUGAUUUUAUAUUAUUUUAUAGGUUCAUCAGUACCCUCAGCUUUUGUAUUGUGGGUGAUGAGAGAAUUACCUCCUUCAGUUGUGGUUAAUGUGCAGGAAGAAUCAAGAAUAGCUUUUGUUACUGACAGUUCAGUAAUUGUACAUCCUCAUCGCUGGACUGCUGCCACAAGCUCACAGAAUCAGAACAAUAGCAUUCAUUACUGACAGUUCAGUAAUAGUACAUCCUCGGCGCUGGACUGCUGCCACAAGCUUGCAGAAUCAGGUGACAAAAGCAAGCCCUAUAUAGUUGCAAUCUAUAUAUGGAGUCUUCUUCCUCCACCAAAAUCCAGGAGCAAGGCAUGGAACUUCAGAAAAAAUUUAGCAGAAGAGUUGGAUUGUCAUGGUGAGAUGAAGUCAAAAGAAUUCCUCGAAUGACAUCCUUUACAAGGCAUUUUGAAGCAUAGUCGUAAGACUACUGUUGCCAUGAUUUUUGACUUUUGUGUACGUUGUAUAUAACAACAAAAUGCAAGUUAGAGGUUUUAGUUAUCAGGAAAAAAAAAAACUUUGUUAGAUGUUUUUCCUUCCCAUAAAUGAGCAUAAGAUGUUUUCCUUCUAUAAUCUUUCUCCUAAUCUUCAUUCUAAUCUGAAAUACGCAAAUUGGUAGCUGCCAUUAGAAUAAA